rnacentral:lncRNA from 1 species
ACUUAACAACAAGUUGAACUCCUCAUCAUAAUGGAAUGGCUCUUUCUCUCCGUCUGCCACGUCCACAAUCAGAGAUCCGUACAAGCCUGCUGAUCUUUGCAUCCCUAAGUGUCCAUGGUAAAAGUAUGUUCCUGCCUGCACUUGCAAUAUCAUGAUUCUAUUAAUUAGUUGGUUGUAAAUAUAAUAUAAAUACAGAAAAAAAAAUUGCUAAUAAAGAGACAGAGUGCUGACAAAACGUUAUAAACGAAGUCAAUUAGCAGUAUCGGUUCAACGUCGUUUGCUGUCAGCGUUCUGUCAAAAUUUUCUUAAUUUCUAAAUUAAUAUGAACAUUUUUUUACACUACCUUGUCAACUUUGAAUCUGUAAAGAUAGGUUUCUCCGGGGUUAAUAGGACACUGGGAGAUGGAAGCAGUGCCAUCAGCCCAUGGAGUGCCGAGCUGUCUGAUUCCAUGCCAAUGAAUCACAACUCCUUCAGUAU